GUGCCAGCCGCUGCGGUAAUACGGAGGGUGCAAGCGUUAUCCGGAUUUACUGGGUUUAAAGGGUGCGUAGGCGGACAGGUAAGUCCGUGGUGAAAUCUUCCGACUUAAUCGGGAAACUGCCAUGGAUACUAUUUGUCUUGAAUAUUGCGGAGGUGAGCGGAAUACGUCAUGUAGCGGUGAAAUGCAUAGAUAUGACGUGGAACACCGAUUGCGAAGGCAGCUCACUACACAAUCAUUGACGCUGAUGCACGAAAGCGUGGGUAGCAAACAGGAUUAGAUACCCUGGUAGUCCACGCCCUAAACCUAUGAUUACUCGACAUUUGCGAUAUACUGUAAGUGUCUGAGCGAAAGCAUUAAGAAUCCACCUGGGAAGUACGACCGCAAGGUUGAAACUCAAAGG
rnacentral:rRNA from 1 species